CAUGUUCAUCAGCCCGAUCGCCAUCAUCUCCUUGUUCCCGUCCACCUGGUAGUUGUUGAUGGACGCAAAGGUCCUGCCCACUGCGAUCCCUUCCUGCAAAAAAUUUUUGUUCAGUUUUUUUACACAUCUCUCGAUCCUUCAGCUGCAUGCAGGGUACUCAAAACCAAAUCUUUUCAUUUCUCUUACUGUUAAGGACAGGAUGCCUGUCAUGAUCCCGGUUUUGAUCGUCAGCGCCACGUAGGAGCCGCUGAAGCUGAGCAUGUUCGCCGAAGGAGGGUUCACUCCCCUGGGGAGGAUGCCGAUCUGUGUUUACAAAAAAGUUUUUUUUUACAGAGAUGAACUGACGAAUAAUGAUUGGUGAGGUCUCAAUGGAACUGAAGAUGCU
rnacentral:lncRNA from 1 species